UUUAAUUACAAGUAUUAUCAAGAUUAUAUUA
rnacentral:rRNA from 2 species